UCAAUUUUGCCACCCUUUAUGGCAUUCUCAACCAUCUCUCCCGCCAUGACUAUAUUCGCAAAGCUUUUGGUGUGCUCCCAAUCAUGUGAGUGAUGAAUGAAGCUUUUAGAGUGUUGAUGAACAACAUGGUAGUCUCCUUCUCCAACAACGGUGGUUGGACUUGCAUUGCUACCUCUCUCCAUCUCUGUGCAUAUUGCCUAAAAUUUUC
rnacentral:lncRNA from 1 species